UACGAAGGGGGCUAGCGUUGUUCGGAAUCACUGGGCGUAAAGCGCACGUAGGCGGAUUGCUAAGUCAGGGGUGAAAUCCUGGAGCUCAACUCCAGAACUGCCUUUGAUACUGGCGACCUUGAGUCCGGGAGAGGUGAGUGGAACUGCGAGUGUAGAGGUGAAAUUCGUAGAUAUUCGCAAGAACACCAGUGGCGAAGGCGGCUCACUGGCCCGGUACUGACGCUGAGGUGCGAAAGCGUGGGGAGCAAACAGG
rnacentral:rRNA from 1 species